AUUGAACGCUGGCGGCAUGCCUUACACAUGCAAGUCGAACGGCAGCACGGGUGCUUGCACCUGGUGGCGAGUGGCGAACGGGUGAGUAAUACAUCGGAACAUGUCCUGUAGUGGGGGAUAGCCCGGCGAAAGCCGGAUUAAUACCGCAUACGAUCUACGGAUGAAAGCGGGGGCCCUUCGGGCCUCGCGCUAUAGGGUUGGCCGAUGGCUGAUUAGCUAGUUGGUGGGGUAAAGGCCUACCAAGGCGACGAUCAGUAGCUGGUCUGAGAGGACGACCAGCCACACUGGGACUGAGACACGGCCCAGACUCCUACGGGAGGCAGCAGUGGGGAAUUUUGGACAAUGGGCGAAAGCCUGAUCCAGCAAUGCCGCGUGUGUGAAGAAGGCCUUCGGGUUGUAAAGCACUUUUGUCCGGAAAGAAAUCCUUGGCCCUAAUACGGUCGGGGGAUGACGGUACCGGAAGAAUAAGCACCGGCUAACUACGU
rnacentral:rRNA from 1 species